GGCGUGACGAGGAUCGGGCGUCGCGGAGCACCAGCUGGCGGCGUCGGGGAGUCACGCGAGGGGCACGUGUCGUCGUGGAGUGGGCGUCCCUUUGUUCCCUGAGUGUCGUGGCGGGGCGGUUGUGGUGCCCGGCGACAAGAAGCAGCACGGGCCUGCCUCUCCUGGGGACUUUAUUCUUCCCACGGAACAAGUCUCCGCGGGUUCGUUUCUCAGAUCACAAGCAAG